rnacentral:rRNA from 1 species
CAGCAGCCGCGGGAAUACGUAGGGUGCAAGCGUUAAUCGGAAUUACUGGGCGUAAAGCGUGCGCAGGCGGUUAUAUAAGACAGAUGUGAAAUCCCCGGGCUCAACCUGGGAACUGCAUUUGUGACUGUAUAGCUAGAGUACGGCAGAGGGGGAUGGAAUUCCGCGUGUAGCAGUGAAAUGCGUAGAUAUGCGGAGGAACACCGAUGGCGAAGGCAAUCCACUGGGCCUGUACUGACGCUCAUGCACGAAAGCGUGGGGAGCAAACAGGAUUAGAUACCCCCGUAGUCCCUGUCUCUUAUAC